GAGUUUGAUCGUGGCUCAGAACGAACGCUGGCGGCGGGCCUCAUACAUGCAAGUCGAGCGCGAAAGUCCGCAAGGAUGAGUAAAGCGGCGCACGGGUGAGUAACACGUGGAUAAUCUACCCUUUGGAUUGGAAUAACCUGUCGAAAGACGGGCUAAUGCCGAGUAAGCUCUCGGGAGCGUGAAGCUCUUGCGAGGAAAGAUGGCGCAAGCUAUCGCCGAUGGAUGAGUCUGCGUCCCAUUAGUUAGUUGGUGAGGUAACAGCUUACCAAGACGAUGAUGGGUACCUGGUCUGAGAGGAUGAUCAGGCACACUGGAACUGAAACACGGUCCAGACUCCUACGGGAGGCAGCAGUAGGGAAUAUUGCGCAAUGGACGAAAGUCUGACGCAGCCACGCCGCGUGAGUGAGGAAGGCCU
rnacentral:rRNA from 1 species